rnacentral:lncRNA from 1 species
CUUUCGCCCGAGGCGGGCUGCGGGCUGCUGGGGUCUGGUGCGGAGGGCCAACUUCUGGGAAUAACCUGGCUGUGGGCUUAAAAAUCGUAGUCAUUCAUUAUCACGGGCUUCUCUCUCUCGAAUACCUUUAACAUUUAUCGCCUUGUUAGUCUCCACAUCCACCUCCGUGAAAGAUGGAGUCUCGCUAUAUUUCCCAGUCUGGCCUCAAACUCCUGAUCUUAAGGGAUCCCCAGCUCAACCUCUCCCAGCAGCUGGGACUACCGGGCUGUCAAAUUUACAUUAACUAUGAGAAUUAAGCAGGAAUUCUCAAGGGUCUCUUUGGAGGCUUACCAAGGACAUCCAGCUGCACAGUGAAGGUGGCUUCUCCUGCUCUAUUCUUGGCAACACAUGCAUAAGCCCCUGCAUCUGAAGCUCUGACUACUUCAAAGAUGAGUGAAUGAAGACCCUUCUCAGACACUAUCAUUUUGUGCAAAUCAUCUGAUUGAACUGUUCUUCCAUUUAGAUACCAUGACACAUCAGGAGCUGGCAGUCCACUCACCUAGAAAGAAAAACACAAGGAGAUGGCAGAAUUUUAAAGUAUUGCAUCACUGAAACCUAUUUGUCCAUAUAUGAAUUUAAACAGUUCCCGUAUCUGAGUGGGUUUGCGAUUGAAAUGCAAAGCAAGAGCUCAAAAGUAUUUAUAAUUUUUUAAACAAAACAUUGGAAAUAAGAUCCUUGAAAUUAACAUAGUAUUUUUAGACUGUCUCAAACCAUAACUCUUUUACAUGCAACCUCAGUCUCUUUAUGAACUCUUAAUUUCUAUAUUUAGAACAUUAAUUUAUGUUACAUUGGUUUCCAUAAGGAAUAUAGAAGUCAUUGCUUUUCUGGCUAAAUGUGACUGCAAAUGAAGUCCCAGAGGCACAUAUAUAUGAGGCUUCCUGAUCUAAUGCGUAAUUUUUCUAAAACAGAGUGUUCUUGAGCUAUAGUUUGGCAUAUAAAUGGCAAUUUGUUAAGUGUUUUUACAUAAACUGUUAACAGUGGAAUCCAAAGCUUUAACACUAACUUGAGUUCAUAAGGAAUCUGGAAAAAAAAUUUUAUAAGGAAAAGUUCUCCAAAAUAAGGAUAAUAAAAAUAUAACCUCUUCUAAAGAGCUUUUCUAGUCUGAGGGACUCUUUUAGGCCAAGAGAAAGCAGGGUGGCUUGAAUUUCUUGAUAGAGGAGAAUUGGAGAGACAUUAUACUUUAAGGCUGGGCACAGUGGCUCACGCCUGUAAUCCCAGCACUUUGGGAAGCCAAGGUGAGUGGAUCGCCUUGAACCCAGGAGUUCUAGACUAGCUGGGCAUGGUGGCACGCGUCUGUAGUUUCAGCUACUAGGGAGGCUGAGUUGGGAUGAUGGCUUGAGCCUGGGAGACAGGUUGCAGUGAGCUGCGAUUGUGCCAUUGCACUCCAGCCUGGGUGACAGAGCAAGACCCUGUCUCAAAAAAAAAAAAAAGGGCAUUGUACUUUAAAAAUUAUAUUGUUCUGAUAGCUUCACUUAUAAAAGUAUUUAUUAGGUAUACCUAUCCACUCAAUUAAUCCUCAUAAUUUUUUGGGGUAUUUGUUAUCCCAUUUUACAGAUGAGGAGACAAAAGCACAGAGAGGUUAAAUGACUUGUCUAAGGUUGCUUAGCUGGAGGAUGGCAGAGCCAGAAUUCAAACCCACAUCAGUUUGACUUCAGAAUUUGUGUUCUUGUCCAUUGUACGUACUGCUUUGCAAGCUAUGAAGUAGGAAAAGAACAUUUUUCAAAACUUAGUAUCCCAUUGUUAAUUUUCCCCCAGUACUUUUGAACCCUUCUCUUACUUUGAAGUCCAUUCUGCAGAAUCUUCCUUCAUCAAUCGACAUGUUCUCUGGCACUUGAAUGAAACGUGGUGGGUAAAAUUUCUCCUGGAUUGCAUCCUGAUCAUUCACAUCUCCCCUUGAGGUUGAUCUACUU